rnacentral:tRNA from 1 species
AAAUUUAGAGUAAGAGGAAAAUCCGUCGAUUUCUAAAAUCGUGAGGGUUCAAGUCCCUCUAUCCCCA